rnacentral:rRNA from 1 species
AGAUUGAACGCUGGCGGCAUGCCUAACACAUGCAAGUCGAACGUCCUGUCUCGCAAGAGGCAGGGAGUGGCGGACGGGUGAGUACCACGUGGGUCAUCUACCGUGAGGUGAGGAAUACCGGCGAGAAAUCGCCGACAAGACCGCAUAGCCUCGGUGCAAGCCGAGGAAAGCUUUCUCGAGAGAGGAAGCGCCACACGAGGAGCCUGCGCCCGAUUAGCUAGCUGGUGGAGUAACGGUUCACCAGGGCGACGAUCGGUAGCUGGUCUGAGAGGACGAUCAGCCACACUGGGAUUGAGAACGGCCCAGACUCCUACGGGGGCAGCAGUGAGGAAUUUUCGUCAAUGGGGGCAACCCUGAACGAGCAACGCCGCGUGCAGGAAGAAGGUUUCGGAUCGUAAACUGCUUUUCUCGGGGAAGAGAACGGACGGUACCCGAGGAAUCAGCCCCGGCUAACUACGUGCCAGCAGCCGCGGU